UGAGGCUGAGUCCUCUCCCUCCAGGUCCUCCUUUGAGGUCCCUCCUCAAACUGGCCCCACUCCCUGACAGGGUUCGAGGCAGUGGCAGCUACUGGUUAACACAGACCAGAUGCAGCCCUUUCCCUGGACAUGCUCAGUGCCCUUUCUCCUCGGAGGCCUUGGGGAUAUUUGAAACUCCAUGGAGUUUGGCUUCAGAGUCCAGAGUGGAAACCACAGCUCCAUGACGCGAGCACAUGUGAUCUCCCUGGGAGGAGAGAGGCCACUGGCCUCAGAGAAGCAGAGGCACGUCGGAGCUGCUGGCUCUGUGGACAACACUCUGCCUUUCCAGUUAGGACGGUGUCUGGGAGGCCAGGGACGGCAAACCCAGAGCCUUCAGUUAGAACCAGAGAGUGACUCUGAGGGCAACAGGCUCUCCAUGCCAGAGGUUGGAGCAAAGGCCCUUUGGAGAGGCAACUUGAACCCCCAAUGAGAGCUGAACAUCCGCUGAGGAGCUGUUCUGUGGCCCCCGCCCCCUCCGUGUGAUGCCUGUUUUGAAAGCUUUGUGUCUGCCAGACAAAUCCUUGAAGAAGAAAAGUUCCAUCGAAAGAGAGCGGUGCCUCCUCCCUCCCACCCUCUGGGCAAACCCAGCAACUAAGUUUGCACGAAUGAGUGGGAAAGUCACUGACAGUCAAGACACCCCAGCUUCCAUCACCGCCUAGUUGGGUAACUUUGGGUCAAUAAGUUAUUAUCUCCAGCCUCAGAUUUCCCACUUGCCCAGUGGAAAUAAUGAGCCUUACCUCAUGGGGAGAUGAGAUGUGCCUCAAAGGGCCUGGCAGAGGCUCAGCGGAGCAAGGCAGUGCUGCUCCCAAAUGACAUUGAUUAAAUCCUCAUUUCCCAUUUCUAAAUCAUCCAAGACCAUCGUAACUGCCCAUCCGCAGUUGGCAAAAAUAAUCGAGACCCCUCCUGGGGGUGGCACCAUCGAGGCUGAGAAGCCAGCUGCUGUGAAAAGAAGCUUGAGACUAGAGAAUGAUGAGGAAUCACAUGGCACUCCGUGAGCCUGGAGACUUGGACUGAGGCAGGCUGGAUGGCUGGAAAAUCCAUGUGAUGGACUGGAUACUCUCCCGGCAAAACUCAUGGCUUACACACCUACAAGGACAAGAAAACUUGGAAGUGGAACCAAAACACUUCAGCAAAGAUUGGCUGACUGCACAGCUGAAGGCCAUGUCAACUCAGGAGCUGCUGACAGCCAGGCUUUCCACAGUGACCAGAGGAGUGUACUGACGGAGCCAGAGGCUGUGAGAGGGGGUCUCAGAGAACAG